GUGUAUUUGGUAGGAAACAUGGUGUGUGGAAGGAAGGAUGGGUUUCAAAUUGGCAUUGAAAGCGAAAGGGAUUCUGCGAGAAUUAAAGAGAAGGUGUCGAGACAAGGAGAAAAUCAGGGAGUAUAAGGAAAGUUUGAGGAAAGUAAGUUAUACUAAAAAGAAGAGCGAGAGAGCAAGUGGGAGAAGAAGGGAAUAUAUGUUGAAGGGAAUCAAUCAAAGCUUUUUGGGUUGCAGUAAAAAGGAAGAUGAAUAUUAUGAAUAAAACCCAGAUGAAUUAAGUUCAGUAGGAUUCUUGUAGCUCCAGAGAUUUUCUUUGCUUUUUCUUUUUUUCUUUUUUGCGGGAAGAUGAGAGAGAGAGAGAGGUGGUAUGGUAGAGAGGGAGUGAGGGAGUAUGCUAUUUGAG
rnacentral:lncRNA from 1 species